GGAUUUGGCGGGGUCUUACCAUGACAGUCGAACGGUGAAGCCCAGCUUGCUGGGUGGAUCAGUGGCGAACGGGUGAGUAACACGUGAGCAACCUGCCCCUGACUCUGGGAUAAGCGCUGGAAACGGCGUCUAAUACUGGAUACGAGUAGCGACCGCAUGGUCAGUUACUGGAAAGAUUUAUUGGUUGGGGAUGGGCUCGCGGCCUAUCAGCUUGUUGGUGAGGUAAUGGCUCACCAAGGCGUCGACGGGUAGCCGGCCUGAGAGGGUGACCGGCCACACUGGGACUGAGACACGGCCCAGACUCCUACGGGAGGCAGCAGUGGGGAAUAUUGCACAAUGGGCGCAAGCCUGAUGCAGCAACGCCGCGUGAGGGAUGACGGCCUUCGGGUUGUAAACCUCUUUUAGCAGGGAAGAAGCGAAAGUGACGGUACCUGCAGAAAAAGCGCCGGCUAACUACGUGCCAGCAGCCGCGGUAAUACGUAGGGCGCAAGCGUUAUCCGGAAUUAUUGGGCGUAAAGAGCUCGUAGGCGGUUUGUCGCGUCUGCUGUGAAAUCCGGAGGCUCAACCUCCGGCCUGCAGUGGGUACGGGCAGACUAGAGUGCGGUAGGGGGAGAUUGGAAUUCCUGGUGUAGCGGUGGAAUGCGCAGAUAUCAGGAGGAACACCGAUGGCGAAGGCAGAUCUCUGGGCCGUAACUGACGCUGAGGAGCGAAAGGGUGGGGAGCAAACAGGCUUAGAUACCCUGGUAGUCCACCCCGUAAACGUUGGGAACUAGUUGUGGGGUCCAUUCCACGGAUUCCGU
rnacentral:rRNA from 1 species